rnacentral:rRNA from 1 species
CUUANNNGGGGCGCCAGUGUCCUAMRRRGGGCUGCAGUGGGGMRUAUUGCACAAWGGGCGCMAGCCUGAAUGCAGCGACGCCGCGUGAGGGAUGACGGCCUUCGGGUUGUAAACCUCUUUCAGCAGGGAAGAAGCGCAAGUGACGGUACCUGCAGAAGAAGCGCCGGCUAACUACGUGCCAGCAGCCGCGGUAAUACGUAGGGCGCAAGCGUUGUCCGGAAUUAUUGGGCGUAAAGAGCUCGUAGGCGGCUUGUCACGUCGGGUGUGAAAGCCCGGGGCUUAACCCCGGGUCUGCAUUCGAUACGGGCAGGCUAGAGUGUGGUAGGGGAGAUCGGAAUUCCUGGUGUAGCGGUGAAAUGCGCAGAUAUCAGGAGGAACACCGGUGGCGAAGGCGGAUCUCUGGGCCAUUACUGACGCUGAGGAAGCCGAAAGCGUGGGGAGCGAACAGGAUUAGAUACCGCAGUAGUCACAU